UCUUGGAGUGCUGUCUUGGAACAGCUCACCAGAGCCUCAGUGUGGGCUGGAGGACACAUUCAUCUGCCCAGGCUCAAGGCCUUGUCUUACACUUGGCUCAUUUAUCGUUUCAAGAGAUUUGCAUCAUGGAGGUCAAAAGGAGCAAGCCGGGCCAGGCCUCACCUCAGCACCAGGCAAAGUUUCUGUCAACACCGGAUGCAGGAAUCAUCAGCCCAGCCAGAAUGUCCAAAGAGCUUUGGAAAGAUGCCGGUACCUGGUCUCACUGUACUAAAUGGAAAGUGUUCAGAUGCUACUUUCAAGAAGUAAAGCCUAAAG